UACGUAGGGUGCAAGCGUUGUCCGGAAUUAUUGGGCGUAAAGAGCUCGUAGGCGGUCUGUCGCGUCGACUGUGAAAACCCGGGGCUCAACCUCGCGCCUGCAGUGGGUACGGGCAGACUAGAGUGCGGUAGGGGAGAUUGGAAUUCCUGGUGUAGCGGUGGAAUGCGCAGAUAUCAGGAGGAACACCGAGGGCGAAGGCAGAUCUCUGGGCCGUAACUGACGCUGAGGAGCGAAAGCGUGGGGAGCGAACAGG
rnacentral:rRNA from 1 species